rnacentral:ribozyme from 1 species
CCCUGGCGCAGCCGGCCACCUCGACGCGGCGCCAGGGUCUAGCACUCUCUUACUAGAGAGGAAGAUAAGCGUCUG